UCACAUGAUGUGCUGUUACAUAAAGCAUCAAGAGAGAUUAACAACUUGAGAAGUGAAAUCCUAAUCAUCAUAAACAGCCACAGGCGGUAUAUCUUCUUUCAGCAGUGCACACUUCUCCAAUUCUGAAACAGAAUCAGGAGUGAGACCCAUGCAUGGAACUAGGAUUGUAUUGGCCUCAAGGUGAUCGCCUGGCAAGGGUUAAAGAUUGUCAGAGCAUUCUGCUUCUAAGCCUUGGAAGAAAAAGAUCCAAGCCUGGAGGCGGAGGACCCAUUGGCUGGGGUGAAGGGUCAGCCCAUUGUUUUGAGAGAGAGGGUGAGGAAUGGGCUGACGUCAGAGGAACAGGAGGGCGUAUUGCCAUCUGCAUCAGGUAAGAGAGCCAGACUUUUCAUAGU